rnacentral:rRNA from 1 species
CACCUACGGGAGGCUGCAGUGGGGAAUCUUGCGCAAUGGGGGCAACCCUGACGCAGCCAUGCCGCGUGAAUGAUGAAGGCCUUAGGGUUGUAAAGUUCUUUUGCCCGUGACGAUGAUGACGGUAACGGGAGAAUAAGCUCCGGCUAACUUCGUGCCAGCAGCCGCGGUAAUACGAAGGGGGCUAGCGUUGUUCGGAAUUACUGGGCGUAAAGCGCGCGCAGGCGGUUCGAUAAGUUAGGGGUGAAAUCCCUGGGCUCAACCCAGGAAUGGCCUUUAAGACUGUCGAGCUAGAGGACGAGAGAGGUGAGUGGAAUUCCCAGUGUAGAGGUGAAAUUCGUAGAUAUUGGGAAGAACACCGGUGGCGAAGGCGGCUCACUGGCUCGUUUCUGACGCUGAGGCGCGAAAGCGUGGGGAGCAAACAGGAUUAGAUACCCUGGUAGUCCACGCCCUAAACGAUGAGUGCCAGGUGUCGGGAAGCUUAGCUUCUCGGCGCCGCAGCUAACGCCUUAAGCA